rnacentral:rRNA from 1 species
GAUCAACGCUGGCGGCGUGCAUGAGACAUGCAAGUCGAACGAAGGAUCGGGCUUGCUCGAUCCUUAGUGGCGGACGGCUGAGUAACGCGUAGGUGACCUACCCCGAAGUGGGGAAUAACUGCCCGAAAGGGCGGCUAAUACCGCAUGUGGUCGCACGUUCAUUCGUGCGAGUAAAGCCGCAAGGCGCUUCGGGAGGGGCCUGCGUCCGAUUAGCUCGUUGGUGGGGUAAUGGCUUACCAAGGCGACGAUCGGUAGGUGGUCUGAGAGGACGAUCACCCAGACUGGGACUGAGACACGGCCCAGACUCCUACGGGAGGCAGCAGUCGGGAAUUUUGCUCAAUGGGGGAAACCCUGAAGCAGCAACGCCGCGUGAGGGAUGAAGGCCUUCGGGUUGUAAACCUCUUUUGUCAGGGACGAUGAUGACGGUACCUGGCGAAUAAGCCACGGCUAACUACGUG